rnacentral:rRNA from 1 species
CCUACGGGUGGCAGCAGUGAGGAAUCUUGGUCAAUGGUCGCGAGCCUGAACCAGCCAAGUAGCGUGAAGGAUGACUGCACUACGGGUCGUAAACUUCUUUUAUAAAGGAAUAAAGUGAGGCACGUGUGCCUUUUUGUCUGUACUUUAUGAAUAAGGAUCGGCUAACUCCGUGCCAGCAGCCGCGGUAAUACGGAGGAUCCGAGCGUUAUCCGGAUUUAUUGGGUUUAAAGGGAGCGUAGAUGGGUUGUUAAGUCAGUUGUGAAAGUUUGCGGCUCAACCGUAAGAUUGCAAUUGAUACUGGCAGCCUUGAGUUCAGGUGAGGUAGGCGGAAUGCGUGGUGUAGCGGUGAAAUGCUUAGAUAUCACGAAGAACUCCGAUUGCGAAGGCAGCCUACUAGCCUGCCACUGACAUUGAUGCACGAAAGUGUGGGUAUCAAACAGGAGUAGAUACCCCGGUAGUC